rnacentral:rRNA from 1 species
AGUGAACGCUGGCGGUAGGCCUAACACAUGCAAGUCGAGCGGCAGCACAGUAAGAGCUUGCUCUUACGGGUGGCGAGUGGCGGACGGGUGAGGAAUACAUCGGAAUCUACUUUUUCGUGGGGGAUAACGUAGGGAAACUUACGCUAAUACUGCAUACGACCUACGGGUGAAAGCAGGGGAUCUUCGGACCUUGCGCGAUUGAAUGAGCCGAUGUCGGAUUAGCUAGUUGGCGGGGUAAAGGCCCACCAAGGCGACGAUCCGUAGCUGGUCUGAGAGGAUGAUCAGCCACACUGGAACUGAGACACGGUCCAGACUCCUACGGGAGGCAGCAGUGGGGAAUAUUGGACAAUGGGCGCAAGCCUGAUCCAGCCAUACCGCGUGGGUGAAGAAGGCCUUCGGGUUGUAAAGCCCUUUUGUUGGGAAAGAAAAGCAGCAGGUUAAUACCCCGCUGUUCUGACGGUACCCAAAGAAUAAGCACCGGCUAACUUCGUG